CGCCCCGUAGCUCAGUGGAUAGAGCAGCGGUUCCUAAACCGCGUGCGCAAGUUUGAUUCUUGCCGGGCGCA
rnacentral:tRNA from 1 species